rnacentral:tRNA from 1 species
UGGGGCAGUGGCCCAAUUGGCAGGAGGCAACUGACUUAAAAUCAGUAAGGUUGUGGGUUCGAAUCCCACCUGCCCCAA